GGGGCCAUCAUGAUCAUCUGGCCUGACCUCCUGCUCCCUGCAGGCCACAGAACCUCACCCGCCCACUCCUGUAAUAGACCCCUGAGAUUCACACUGCAUCGGAACAUUUUAGGCAUAUGAAAAAGUUCUGUUACUAUGUUUUUAUUUAUCACUGACUUUCAUGCCCUUGGAACUUCCUGCUUUCAUCUGUGAUGGAAACCAUCUAGGAGUUAUUGAAACACCCCCAGAGAGGUGUUUCUCUUCAGGCCAUCUCCAGCCGCGCUGAAUCCAAGCAGCGCUGAGAAUCUCAGCCCCGGGCUGCUCCAAAGAGAUUGGAGAAGAAUCUGAAUAUCUGGCUGCUCGUCCAAGCCUGAGGCAGCUCGUCCAUCAAGGAUGUGUGAGUGUAGAUGACAGCGAUGCAAACGUCACUCUCCCGGCUGUACACAUCCAUCCUGCUGAGUUUAACUAUUGCUACAGUGCAGAAGAGGCUGCAACUGAGCAUCAAUUCUGGAACAUUUCCCUCCGAGAGUCACAGAAGUUAAAGACAGACACCACCUCUUGGUCACCUGGUUCCCUUUCCCUACAGCCCUUGGCUGCUCCCUGCAGAAUAUCCUACUGAGCGUUGUCUGGCCUGGUUUCCAACGUCCCAGCACUCAUCCUCGCCUCUCUGUGUCGGCAGUCGGGCCUGCUGACAUUUCCAGCAGCCCUGUCCACCUCGCUCCGGAGAAGAUGGUGUGGACGAUGGUGCAGAUAACACAAGCAUGGGAAAAGAUGGAGCCUGCCCCGCCCGAGCAGUCCUCCUGGCAAAGGGUUCUGGGCACGGUUCUCUCAGGUGGAUGGACACUGCCACUAAUGGAAUAAAAGAAGGUCACGGAUCAAUGAGAAACAAGCUUCCUCCAUCCCUUCAGCGCCAUCCUGAGCAGCUGGACGCUACGGCCUGGAUCCUGCAAGCCUAUUCCUGAGGUGCAGCCAGGAGGCCCCGGGGGCAGAACACCGGGUAAUGGGGAACGGAGGAUGUGCAUGGAUGUAAGGAAGGGUAAGUGCUGGGCACAGCCCUUCCCGCUGAGCUGAGGUCGCAGGGCCUUGGCGUGUCUGCUGCCUCACUCUGAAGCA
rnacentral:lncRNA from 1 species